AGGGAUGUAGCGCAGCUUGGUAGCGCCUUUGUUUUGAGUCAAAAAUGUCAC
rnacentral:tRNA from 1 species